UACAAGUUCAACGUAAAUCGUUCUACCAUAAUUGAACACAAGUUCAUUUGACAAAGUCAAAAUGAAGUCCACUCAAGCAAUGUAUUGCAUUCUGUUGAUUUCAAUGCUUUUGAUGAUUGGAAAUUGUUAUCCUGCAAUUGAAAUUGUUGAUGGGAAUUCAUCGCAGAUUGCUGAUCCUCAAUCCCCCUUUGGUUAUGGCGGCAUUUUAGUGGAUCCUGAAAAUAUCGGCAACGAAACGUCUGGAAAUUCAACUGUUCCAGAACUUCAAUUCCGUCGUUGUAUCUGGUUUUGUUUGUGGUGGUAAUUAGCAACA